GUGCUUCCUUCAGCAUCACGUAUACUAAAAUUGGAAUGAUACAGAGAUUAGCAUGGCCCCUGCACAAGGAUGACAUGCAAAUUCAUGAAGCACUCUAUAUUUUC
ensembl:snRNA U6 U6 spliceosomal RNA